rnacentral:rRNA from 1 species
CCUACGGGGGGCUGCAGUGAGGAAUAUUGGUCAAUGGACGAGAGUCUGAACCAGCCAAGUAGCGUGAAGGAUGACUGCCCUAUGGGUUGUAAACUUCUUUUAUAUGGGAAUAAAACGUUCCACGUGUGGGAUUUUGUAUGUACCAUAUGAAUAAGGAUCGGCUAACUCCGUGCCAGCAGCCGCGGUAAUACGGAGGAUCCGAGCGUUAUCCGGAUUUAUUGGGUUUAAAGGGAGCGUAGGUGGAUUGUUAAGUCAGUUGUGAAAGUUUGCGGCUCAACCGUAAAAUUGCAGUUGAAACUGGCAGUCUUGAGUACAGUAGAGGUGGGCGGAAUUCGUGGUGGAGCGGUGAAAUGCUUAGAUAUCACGAAGAACUCCGAUUGCGAAGGCAGUUCACUGGACUGCAACUGACACUGAGGCUCGAAAGUGUGGGUAUCAAACAGGAUUAGAUACCCUUGUAGUC